rnacentral:rRNA from 1 species
GACGAAUGCUGGCGGCGUGCUUAACACAUGCAAGUCGAACGGAAAGGCCCUGCUUUUGUGGGGUGCUCGAGUGGCGAACGGGUGAGUAACACGUGAGUAACCUGCCCUUGACUUUGGGAUAACUUCAGGAAACUGGGGCUAAUACCGGAUAGGAGCUCCUGCUGCAUGGUGGGGGUUGGAAAGUUUCGGCGGUUGGGGAUGGACUCGCGGCUUAUCAGCUUGUUGGUGGGGUAGUGGCUUACCAAGGCUUUGACGGGUAGCCGGCCUGAGAGGGUGACCGGCCACAUUGGGACUGAGAUACGGCCCAGACUCCUACGGGAGGCAGCAGUGGGGAAUAAUGCACAAUGGGCGGAAGCCUGAUGCAGCAACGCCGCGUGCGGGAUGACGGCCUUCGGGUUGUAAACCGCUUUCGCCUGUGACGAAGCGUGAGUGACGGUAAUGGGUAAAGAAGCACCGGCUAACUACGUG